GUCCACGCCGUAAACGAUGAGAACUAGCCGUUGGAAACCUUAGAGUUUUUAGUGGCGCAGCUAACGCGAUAAGUUCUCCGCCUGGGGAGUACGGCCGCAAGGUUAAAACUCAAAUGAAUUGACGGGGGCCCCGCACAAGCGGUGGAGCAUGUGGUUUAAUUCGACGCAACGCGAAGAACCUUACCUGGUCUUGACAUCCUGCGAACCUUUCAGAGAUGAGAGGGUGCCUUCGGGAGCGCAGAGACAGGUGCUGCAUGGCUGUCGU
rnacentral:rRNA from 1 species